GGCGCCGUGGCGGAACCGGUAGACGCGCCUGACUCAAAAUCAGGUCUCUUCUGAGGUGUGAGUUCGAGUCUCACCGGCGCCACCA
rnacentral:tRNA from 1 species